rnacentral:lncRNA from 1 species
AUGGGGCCUAAGGGCACUGGGAGUCGAGGGAGAGAUCCUCAGGUCCUGGUGGGAGACUGCCUUCCACUCCAGAGAAUGCCGAUGGAAUCUGUGUGCACAAGUCUUCCUGGAGCCUUCCCCGGUCCCACAUGUUCUGCUAACCUCCUGGUUCCUGCUCAGGCUGGGUGGCCCUGCCCAUCAGAUUCCCUCCAGACCCAGGUGUGAGAGCAGUCCUUUCGCUGAGCCCUGGAGGAGGGCACUGCAAUAGAUGCUGGACUCGAGUCCCAGCGUGUCUACCUCCCACCCCUGCCAAGUGCUCUCCAGCCCCGUGGACUCCAUGCCCCAUUCUCGAGCAAAGAGCAAGGUAAACUCUCCCUCUUUCCCCCCUAACAGAUACUUAUGUGCCAACAUAAUCUGAUGAAUACCAAACAGUAUUUUUUUCAUUCUAGGAUACUUAGAUAUCUGGUCUAAUACACUGUAGAACAGAAGACAGUGAAUCCUGCUUGUCUAUUCUAAUUGAUAAAGACAGUCUCCAUUUACUGAGAUUUUACCAAUUUACUCAGGUUUUACCAUUUUACUCAGGCUU